rnacentral:rRNA from 1 species
AUGGCGUUGUGGUGUGAGAACAUGGCGUUGCCGCCCCGUGUCCUUGUCGCUCCCCGCCCUUCUGGUGCCAAUGGUCAAGGGAAUAUUCUAUUACUUCGCCAUCCAAAACUAGAAGAAGAAACACAGUAUCUGUUCACUGACGGCCAACUUCAUGAAUUCAAUUGGUUUAAGGAGCGUUAUGGUUCUUGGUUCCUGGGAGAUUAUGUCUGUGAAGAUGGUAGCAUUUACUAUUGCACACUUGUUGACCCCAUCUUUGUUCUUCUACCACUUUUCGAAGCUGCACGUAUGUCGAACGGUAAGGAUCUGGGAAAAUUCAGACAGUUGGAUGAAAUUUUAUACAUCGAAGGUUAUCCUGGAUAUCAGCACCUCAUGAGUAUAGCAGGAAAGCAUAUGGAACUGGUUUGUGAAGUUAAAGAAGUUGCUAAUAUGAAGUUCUUCAGGCUAGAUGAUUCCAAGGUCUUAACUUGGAUGUGCUGUAAGGUACACAGUAUAAAAGAGGCUAUCUCCAAGUUAGGUAAAAAUUAUGCUGCUCAAGGAGAAAGAGAACUGUUAAAGGAGGCUGUCCAAAUAAUUCGUGAAAACCUGAAGGAUGAACCGUGGCUAAUGGUACUCUGCAAGAAAUUGCAGUUAGACAUCAGUGAGAUAAAUGAUAUGGCCAAAACCAAUGACACGUCAUUUUGUGCUGAUAGUUCUCCGGUACCUGCUCCAGCUCGUCCCUCAGAGGGGGGUGUAGGAAAUAGCAGUGCCAAGUCAAGCAAAGGGAGGCCUGCAAAGAAACUGAAGCCUGAGGUAGGAUCAAAGAACAUAAAAGACAUGUUCCGAAGGGUGACAAGGAGUGGGACAUAA